GACGAACGCUGGCGGCGUGCUUAACACAUGCAAGUCGAACGAUGAAGCUGGAGCUUGCUCCGGUGGAUUAGUGGCGAACGGGUGAGUAACACGUGAGCAAUCUGCCCUUGACUCCGGGAUAACUGCGGGAAACUGUAGCUAAUACCGGAUACGAGGCUCGAAGGCAUCUUCGGGUCUGGAAAGAAUUUCGGUCAAGGAUGAGCUCGCGGCCUAUCAGCUUGUUGGUGAGGUAAUGGCUCACCAAGGCGACGACGGGUAGCCGGCCUGAGAGGGUGACCGGCCACACUGGGACUGAGACACGGCCCAGACUCCUACGGGAUGAAGCAGUGGGGAAUUGGUCACAAUGGGCGAAAGCCUGAUGCAGCAACGCCGCGUGUGGCAUGAAGGCCUUCGGGUUGUAAACCUCUUUUAGCAGGGCAGCAGCGAAAGUGACGGUACCUGCAGAAAAAGCACCGGCUAACUAGGUGCCAGCAGCCGCGGUAA
rnacentral:rRNA from 1 species